rnacentral:rRNA from 1 species
UACGUAGGGUGCAAGCGUUAAUCGGAAUUACUGGGCGUAAAGCGUGCGCAGGCGGCUUUGCAAGACAGAUGUGAAAUCCCCGGGCUUAACCUGGGAACUGCAUUUGUGACUGCAUGGCUGGAGUGCGGCAGAGGGGGAUGGAAUUCCGCGUGUAGCAGUGAAAUGCGUAGAUAUGUGGAGGAAUACCGAUGGCGAAGGCAGCCCCCUGGGCCUGCACUGACGCUCAUGCACGAAAGCGUGGGGAGCAAACAGG